ACUGCAGUCGAGCGAANAGACGAGGAGCUUGCUCCUCUGACGUUAGCGGCGGACGGGUGAGUAACACGUGGAUAACCUACCUAUAAGACUGGGAUAACUUCGGGAAACCGGAGCUAAUACCGGAUAAUAUAUUGAACCGCAUGGUUCAAUAGUGAAAGACGGUUUUGCUGUCACUUAUAGAUGGAUCCGCGCCGCAUUAGCUAGUUGGUAAGGUAACGGCUUACCAAGGCAACGAUGCGUAGCCGACCUGAGAGGGUGAUCGGCCACACUGGAACUGAGACACGGUCCAGACUCCUACGGGAGGCAGCAGUAGGGAAUCUUCCGCAAUGGGCGAAAGCCUGACGGAGCAACGCCGCGUGAGUGAUGAAGGUCUUCGGAUCGUAAAACUCUGUUAUUAGGGAAGAACAAAUGUGUAAGUAACUAUGCACGUCUUGACGGUACCUAAUCAGAAAGCCACGGCUAACUACGUGCCAGCAGCCGCGGUAAUACGUAGGUGGCAAGCGUUAUCCGGAAUUAUUGGGCGUAAAGCGCGCGUAGGCGGUUUUUUAAGUCUGAUGUGAAAGCCCACGGCUCAACCGUGGAGGGUCAUUGGAAACUGGAAAACUUGAGUGCAGAAGAGGAAAGUGGAAUUCCAUGUGUAGCGGUGAAAUGCGCAGAGAUAUGGAGGAACACCAGUGGCGAAGGCGACUUUCUGGUCUGUAACUGACGCUGAUGUGCGAAAGCGUGGGGAUCAAACAGGAUUAGAUACCCUGGUAGUCCACGCCGUAAACGAUGAGUGCUAAGUGUUAGGGGGUUUCCGCCCCUUAGUGCUGCAGCUAACGCAUUAAGCACUCCGCCUGGGGAGUACGACCGCAAGGUUGAAACUCAAAGGAAUUGACGGGGACCCGCACAAGCGGUGGAGCAUGUGGUUUAUUUCGAAGCAACGCGAAAAAACUUACNAAAUCUUGACAUCCUCUUACCCCACUAUAAAUAGAGUUUUCCCUUUC
rnacentral:rRNA from 1 species